rnacentral:lncRNA from 1 species
AAUGCUGGGCGAAGGCUCCGAGCCACGAGACCCCCGCCUCCUGUCCCGGGACCCACCCAGGCGGAGGCAAGGGCAGGGGCGCUGGGGGCCCAGAGAGAGGGCGCCGCGAUGGAUGAAUGAGCUGUUUCCAGCAUUCCUGCUGAAUAUGAAGGCAACUCGGACUAAGAAGACGACUGCUUUCCAACUGCCCUCCCGUCCUGCAGCCGCCUGAUUUGAGGAAGGGGCUGGGAUCCUUCCCCUUGCCCUCUGGUUGUUCUUGGAGUUACAGCAGCCCCGCGGCAGCUCUGCCCCCUAGUGCACAUGUGAGGCAGCGCGCCCUUCUCCAAUCCAGAAGCCUCGUCGCGGUGCUGCCAGCAAGGGAGUUUUUCUGUAUUCACUUUGGUGGAAAUAGCAAAACUUGACAGAAAAAAAACCCAAGCCAAACCAAAACACACGAACCAUUCUAGCCUUUUCUCUCUUUCGUUUCUUUCUGAGGAUCUGGCCGAUUUGGAUGCAGAAAACAUGCCUGUUGCUUCUGCUGCGAAA